rnacentral:rRNA from 2 species
AGGAUUCCCCUAGUAAUGGCGAAUGAAGCGGGAACGGCUCAAAUUUGAAAUCUGCGUCGCCUGCGACGCCGAAUUGUAGUUUCUAGAAGCACUUUCUAGGCGGAACCGGGGCCGUCCAAGUUGCUUGGAACAGCACGUCAUAGAGGGUGACAACCCCGUCUGUGGCGGAACCGGCCGCUCACGAUGUGCUUUCGACGAGUCGGGUUGUUUGGGAAUGCAGCCCAAAAUGGGUGGUAAACUCCAUCUAAAGCUAAAUAUUGGCACGAGACCGAUAGCGAACAAGUACCGUGAGGGAAAGAUGAAAAGCACUUUGAAAAGAGAGUUAAAAAGUACGUGAAACCGUUAAAGGGGAAACGGAUGGGGUUAGCAAUGCGCUCCGCGAGAUUCAGCCGGCCGGCGAUUCGGGCGGGCGGUUUGCGGAUCUGAAUGGACCGCGGCCGUCCGGUUCGGCACCUCGACCGUCGCACUUCUCGCGAGCGCGCGCCAACGUCGGUUGGCACCGGGUCUCAAGGGCGCGGGCAAGGUAGGUUCGUCCCCUCGGGGAGGAGCUGUUACAGGCCCGCGUCGCAUGGCCCGGGGCCGACCGAGGAGCCGCGGUGCAUGCCUCUCUCUGGCUAGGGUCCCGUCCCUCCGGUCGGUAGUCGACUGCGGUGGACUGCGUGCAGUGCGCCGCGACCGCUGCCGGUCGCGGGGGCGGUGACCUCGUACGAUGCGCCCAGGACGUUGGCGGUCAAAUGGCCUCAUUCGACCCGUCUUGAAACACGGACCAAGGAGUCUAACAUGUGCGCGAGUCUUCGAGUGACGGAAACUCGCGGGCGCAAUGAAAGUGAAGGCGGCCUCGUGCCGCCGAGGUGAGAGCCCGUCCCCCGGGGCGGGUGCAUCAUCGACCGACCUAUUCCGCUCUCGGGAAGGUUUGAGUAAGAGCGCACCUGUUGGGCGGUGGUCAUGGAAGUCGGAACCCGCUAAGGAGUGUGUAACAACUCACCUGCCGAAGCAACUAGCCCUGAAAAUGGAUGGCGCUCAAGCGUCGCACCUAUACCGUGCCGUCGGGGCGAGUGCCCUGUCCCGACGAGUAGGAGGGCGUGGGGGUCGUGAGGCAGCCUCUGGCGCGAGCCCGGGUGAAACGGCCCCCAGUGCAGAUCUUGGUGGUAGUAGCAAAUAUUCAAAUGAGAGCUUUGAAGACCGAAGUGGAGAAAGGUUCCAUGUGAACAGCAGUUGGACAUGGGUUAGUCGACCCUAAGAGAUAGGGAAACUCCGUUUUCAAGCGCCCGAUCAGCGGGCCGUCUAUCGAAAGGGAAUCGGGUUAAUAUUCCCGAACCGGAACGCGGAUAGGGCCGCCUUCGGGCGGCGGGUGCGGUGACGCAAACGAACCCGGAGACGCCGGCGGGGGCCCUGGGAUGGGUUCUCUUUUCUUCUUAACGGACUCUCACCCUGAAAUCAGCUUGCCUGGAGAUAGGGUUCGAUGUCCGGUAAAGCACCACACUUCUUGUGGUGUCCGGUGCGCUCCCGACGGCCCUUGAAAAUCCGGGGGAGACGGUGAUUUUCGCGUCCGGUCGUACUCAUAACCGCAGCAGGUCUCCAAGGUGAGCAGCCUCUGGUUGAUAGAACAAUGUAGGUAAGGGAAGUCGGCAAAGUAGAUCCGUAACCUCGGGAGCUCAAUGAGAACAGAAAUCUCAUGUGGAACAAAAGGGUAAAAGCUCACUUGAUUUUGAUUUUCAGUACGAAUACAAACUGUGAAAGCAUGGCCUAUCGAUCCUUUAGUCUUUAGGAGUUUUAAGCUAGAGGUGUCAGAAAAGUUACCACAGGGAUAACUGGCUUGUGGCAGCCAAGCGUUCAUAGCGACGUUGCUUUUUGAUCCUUCGAUGUCGGCUCUUCCUAUCAUUGCGAAGCAGAAUUCGCCAAGUGUUGGAUUGUUCACCCACCAAUAGGGAACGUGAGCUGGGUUUAGACCGUCGUGAGACAGGUUAGUUUUACCCUACUGAUGAAGCGUUGUUGCAAUAGUAAUUCUGCUCAGUACGAGAGGAACCGCAGAUUCAGACAAUUGGCACUUGCACUUGGCUGAAAAGCCAUUGGUGCGAAGCUACCAUCUGUUGGAUUAUGA